GACGAACGCUGGCGGUGUGCCUCAAACAUGCAAGUCGAGGGAGGGUUGGCGUCUGGCUUGCCAGACGUUCAACUCUACCGGCGAACGGGUGAGUAACACGUGGGCAAUCUGCCCUGAAGACGGGGACAACCUCGGGAAACCGUGGCUAAUACCCGAUACCCCUCCGUUGGGGGCACUCCCCUAGGAAAGGAAAGGUCCGCAACGGUCCGCUUCAGGAGGACGCCCGCGGCCUAUCAGCUUGUUGGGUGGGGUCACCGGCCACCAAGGCUAUGACGGGUAGCUGGUCUGAGAGGACGAUCAGCCACACUGGGACUGAGACA
rnacentral:rRNA from 1 species